AACGCACGAGACCUGCGGACCUGCGGAAGGAUCAUCAUUGAAAACAAAUUUGAACAGGAGUGUUUGUUUUGAGAGGGGAGGGGGACAAGAAAACUCUGCAUUUCUGCCGCCCGAACCUUGAGAGCUGCCUCCUGUACAAACAACCAAUCUACAUGACUAGGAAACACACACACACACACACACACACACACAAGUUCUUGUCUGACAAGUUGCUUGCUGAUUUGGAGCAGAUAACAAUAA
rnacentral:misc_RNA from 1 species